UUAUUGUGCAGCGAAAGCUCUUGUUGAGAUGCAUAACUGGAAGGACUUGUUAGAGAAUGACCAAGUAUGUUGCUUUCUUUUUUCCCAUUGCUCCUUUCUCAAAUCUUACCUUACUCAUCAUUUGAUAUCUUUUGCUUUCAGCUGCAAAUAGAGCAGAGGCAAGGUCGAGUAUUCAAAGGAUGGAACAAAGGGAAAAUAUACUUCCCCCCCACAUACAAGUAUUCAAACAACUCAGGCAGGUAUGCAGGAGAUGGAAGACAUUCAAAACAAAAGAGAACUCCAGCAUGGUGUGAUAGAAUCUUAUGGCAUGGGAGAGGUCUUCACCAAUUAUCUUACGUUCGUGGGGAGUCAAGAUUCUCUGAUCAUAGACCUGUGUAGAGCAUAUUCUCAGCAGAAGUUGAUCAAAGAAGCUCUAGUGGCCAAAAUAUUUCAGCAAAACUAGCAUUCAACAUUCCAAAACCAGCAAAACCAGCAACUACAAAACAUUAAAAUCUGCCUACAGCAUUAAGCAUUUAGCACAUUAUGAAACAUUCCAAAACACUAAAUCUUCACCCAGCAAAACCAACAACUACAAAACAAAGCCAUUAGCAAAUUUGAACAAAAAAAGUAGGAGCCAUCAGCAACUAGUAAACCAUAUAACAAACUAACAGAGCCAUCAGUAAACUAACAGAGCAAUCGAGCCAUUGAGCAAU